UGCGCAGGCGGCCGUGUGUGUGAGGCGUGAAAGCCCGGGGCUUAACCCCGGAAUUGCACCUCAAACUACAUGGCUAGAGCAUUGGAGAGGGUAGCAGAAUUCACGGUGUAGCAGUGAAAUGCGUAGAUAUCGUGAGGAAUACCAGAGGCGAAGGCGGCUACUUGGACAAUUGCUGACGCUCAGGCACGAAAGCGUGGGGAGCAAAAGGGAUUAGAUACCCCUGUAGUCCACGCCCUAAACGGUGCACACUAGGUCUUGGCGGAUUCGACCCCCCCAGGGCCCAAGCUAACGCGUUAAGUGUGCCGCCUGAGGACUACGGUCGCAAGACUAAA
rnacentral:rRNA from 1 species